rnacentral:rRNA from 1 species
GGACUACUGGGGUAUCUAAUCCUGUUCGCUCCCCACGCUUUCGCGUCUCAGCGUCAGUACCGUCCCAGAGAGCCGCCUUCGCCACGGGUGUUCUUCCUGAUAUCUGCGCAUUUCACCGCUACACCAGGAAUUCCACUCUCCUCUUCCGGACUCUAGCUUUGCAGUUUCCACCGGCGUCUCGAGGUUGAGCCUCGAGUUUUCACAACGGACUUGCAAAGCCGCCUACACGCUCUUUACGCCCAAUAAAUCCGGACAACGCUUGCCCCCUACGUAUUACCGCGGCUGCUGGCAC